AUGGAGGCCACAAAGGAAGCAGUACUUCCUCGUGGGGACCCGGUAUGCAAUGGCUGCAAACAGCAGCUUCCUUGGUAGUGUACGCAGCCUGUUUCUUGUAUAGGUUGCUCUAAGGGACCUUGGAGACAGCC
rnacentral:snoRNA from 1 species